AGAUAACAACUCUCCUCCAAGGAAUCAUGUGCUGGAGGGGAGGGUUGGGUCUGCUCUGCGUCUAUGUGAGUGUUUGAGCCAUCCUAGUAGAAUGAUAAUCUCAUCUAGUAAAGUGGUAUCUCCUUGUAAUUUUAAUUUGUAGUUCCCUAAUAGCUAGUGAUGAGAGAGAGAGUGCAAGCACGUGGGGCAGCAGGCUGAGGAAGAGGGAAAAGCAGACUCACCACUGAGCAGGGAGCCUCAUGUGGGGCUCACCGUGGGGCUGGACACGAUGCUGGAC